rnacentral:rRNA from 1 species
CCCUUAGAUGUCCUGGGCCGCACGCGUGCUACACUGACGCCUACAGCGAGUACUUCCCAGCCCCGAGAGGUGGCUGGUAAUCAGCAAUAGGCGUCGUGAUGGGGAUAGAUCUUUGGAAUUAUGGAUCUUGAACGAGGAAUGCCUAGUAAGCGCAGGUCAUUAGCCUGCGUUGAUUAAGUCCCUGCCCUUUGUACACACCGCCCGUCGCUCCUACCGAUUUCGAGUGGUCCGGUGAAUCUUUCGGACUGCGCGCGGCUUCGUGCCGUGUCGCGGAAAGUCAGGUAAACCUUAUCACUUAGAGGAAGGAGAAGUCGUAACA